rnacentral:rRNA from 1 species
GACAGAGGGUGCAAACGUUGUUCGGAAUUACUGGGCGUAAAGCGCGUGUAGGCGGCUUGGCAAGUCGGGUGUGAAGGCCCUGGGCUCAACCUAGGAAGUGCACUCGAAACUGCUUCGCUUGAGUGUCGGAGAGGAAAGCGGAAUUCUCGGUGUAGAGGUGAAAUUCGUAGAUAUCGAGAGGAACACCGGUGGCGAAGGCGGCUUUCUGGACGAUAACUGACGCUGAGACGCGAAAGCGUGGGGAGCAAACAGG